rnacentral:lncRNA from 1 species
CUGGGUCUGUUGAUGCCAUUGGGUAGCAGUCUGGAUAUGGGCAUUCAGCGUACCUUCGAUCUGCCUGUUCUAGAGCUCCAGUCCUCCCAUGCGAGUGUUGAGGACGUCUAGUGUGACCUGAGGGCGAACAGGGGGUGGCAUUCCUUCGGAAUCUGAUGAGUGUCCGUGCUCAUGAUGCCUGGAUCCCCCUGCACCAUAUGCCUCUGGCUCGCUUGGGCCUGCGCCUCCGUGCGCCUGCCAGCUCGACCCUCCUGGCUGCCAGCUCUGAUGAGGACAUCACCAUGCUGGAUACGUUGACACCAUCGUCUUUUUCCAAGUUGC